rnacentral:rRNA from 1 species
UACGAAGGGGGCUAGCGUUGUUCGGAAUUACUGGGCGUAAAGCGUGCGCAGGCGGCUUCUCAAGUCAGGGGUGAAAGCCCAGAGCUCAACUCUGGAAUUGCCUUUGAGACUGAGUGGCUUGAGUACGAGAGAGGUGAGUGGAAUUCCCAGUGUAGAGGUGAAAUUCGUAGAUAUUGGGAAGAACACCGGUGGCGAAGGCGGCUCACUGGACCGGUAUUGGACGCUGAGGUGGGCGAAAA